GACGAACGCUGGCGGCGUGCUUAACACAUGCAAGUCGAACGGUGAAGCGCCUUCCUUUUUGGUGGGUGUGGAUGAGUGGCGAACGGGUGAGUAACACGUGAGUAACCUGCCCCCUUCUUCUGGAUAACCGCAUGAAAGUGUGGCUAAUACGGGAUAUUCUGGGUCUGUCGCAUGAUGGGUCUGGGAAAGAGAUUGUUUCGGUGGGGGAUGGGCUCGCGGCCUAUCAGCUUGUUGGUGGGGUGAUGGCCUACCAAGGCGGUGACGGGUAGCCGGCCUGAGAGGGUGGACGGUCACACUGGGACUGAGACACGGCCCAGACUCCUACGGGAGGCAGCAGUGGGGAAUAUUGCACAAUGGGCGCAAGCCUGAUGCAGCGACGCCGCGUGAGGGAUGGAGGCCUUCGGGUUGUGAACCUCUUUCGCCAGUGAAGCAGGCCUGCCUCGUUUGUGGGUGGGUUGACGGUAGCUGGAUAAGAAGCGCCGGCUAACUACGUG
rnacentral:rRNA from 1 species